CCUACGGGGGGCAGCAGUGAGGAAUAUUGGUCAAUGGACGAGAGUCUGAACCAGCCAAGUAGCGUGAAGGAUGACUGCCCUAUGGGUUGUAAACUUCUUUUAUAAAGGAAUAAAACGAGGUACGUGUGCCUUUUUGCAUGUACUUUAUGAAUAAGGAUCGGCCGACUCCGUGCCCGCAGCCGCGGUAAUACGGAGGAUCCGAGCGUUAUCCGGGUUUUUUGGGUUUUAACGGGGCGUAGAUGGGUUGUUAAGUCAGUUGUGAAAGUUUGCGGCUCAACCGUAAGAUUGCAGUUGAUACUGGCAGUCGUGAGUACAGUUGAGGUAGGCGGAAUUCGUGGUGUAGCGGUGAAAUGCAUAGAUAUCACGAAGAACCCCGAUUGCGAAGGCAGCUUACUAAACUGUGACUGACAUUGAUGCACGAAAGUGUGGGUAUCAAACAGGAUUAGAUACCCCAGUAGUC
rnacentral:rRNA from 1 species